GAUGAACGCUGGCGGCGUGCCUAAUACAUGCAAGUCGAGCGAAUGGAUUAAGAGCUUGCUCUUAUGAAGUUAGCGGCGGACGGGUGAGUAACACGUGGGUAACCUGCCCAUAAGACUGGGAUAACUCCGGGAAACCGGGGCUAAUACCGGAUGAUGCAUCCAGGCUUAAGCCUGGAUGCCAAAGGUAGCUUCGGCUUCCGCAUUGGGAGGGGCCCGCGGCCCAUUAGCCUGUUGGUGGGGUAAUGGCCUACCAAAGCAACGAUGGGUAGCUGGUAUGAGAGGACGAUCAGCCACACUGGGACUGAGACACGGCCCAGACUCCUACGGGAGGCAGCAGUGGGGAAUCUUGCGCAAUGCGCGAAAGCGUGACGCAGCAACACCGCGUGAGGGAAGACGGCCUUAGGGUUGUAAACCUCUUUCAGUUGGGACGAAGGUUCGACGGUGAAUAGCCGGCCGGACUGACGGUACCUUCAGAAGAAGCUCCGGCUAACUACGUGCCAGCCGCCGCCGUAA
rnacentral:rRNA from 1 species